GGUGAACACGGAGCUUGCUCUGUGGGAUCAGUGGCGAACGGGUGAGUAACACGUGAGCAACCUGCCCCUGACUCUGGGAUAAGCGCUGGAAACGGCGUCUAAUACUGGAUAUGUGACGUGACCGCAUGGUCUGCGUCUGGAAAGAAUUUCGGUUGGGGAUGGGCUCGCGGCCUAUCAGCUUGUUGGUGAGGUAAUGGCUCACCAAGGCGUCGACGGGUAGCCGGCCUGAGAGGGUGACCGGCCACACUGGGACUGAGACACGGCCCAGACUCCUACGGGAGGCAGCAGUGGGGAAUAUUGCACAAUGGGCGCAAGCCUGAUGCAGCAACGCCGCGUGAGGGACGACGGCCUUCGGGUUGUAAACCUCUUUUAGCAGGGAAGAAGCGAAAGUGACGGUACCUGCAGAAAAAGCGCCGGCUAACUACGUGCCAGCAGCCGCGGUAAUACGUAGGGCGCAAGCGUUAUCCGGAAUUAUUGGGCGUAAAGAGCUCGUAGGCGGUUUGUCGCGUCUGCUGUGAAAUCCGGAGGCUCAACCUCCGGCCUGCAGUGGGUACGGGCAGACUAGAGUGCGGUAGGGGAGAUUGGAAUUCCUGGUGUAGCGGUGGAAUGCGCAGAUAUCAGGAGGAACACCGAUGGCGAAGGCAGAUCUCUGGGCCGUAACUGACGCUGAGGAGCGAAAGGGUGGGGAGCAAACAGGCUUAGAUACCCUGGUAGUCCACCCCGUAAACGUUGGGAACUAGUUGUGGGGUCCAUUCCACGGAUUCCGUGACGCAGCUAACGCAUUAAGUUCCCCGCCUGGGGAGUACGGCCGCAAGGCUAAAACUCAAA
rnacentral:rRNA from 1 species